ACCAAACAACUUACAAAAUUUUUUCACACUGAACAUUAAGUGACAGCAUUUCACCUCCGUCAACAUGGAAAAACUCGCUGCAGUUUUGUUCUUUUUCACUCUCGUAGGUAACAGCUUGGAAGAUGAUAUUACUGCCAGCAGAGCUGAAGUGUUUUCAUCAGAGGGCCUUAGUGUUACUCUGUCCUGUAACUAUUCAGUUAAAGCUGAUAAUCUCCAGUGGUAUCGACAGGAUCCUGGAUCAGCUCCUCAGUUCCUUCUCCUGAUCACUGAUACCAAAGAGCCUUCAAUGGUGAAAGCAAAACCUCCACACCCUCGACUGACUGCUAAACUGAAUGAGGAGAGAAAUCGAGUGGAUCUGGAGAUCUCCUCUGCUGCAGUGACUGACUCUGCUGUGUACUACUGUGCUCUGCGGCCCACAGUGACAGGAAACACCAAGACUCUGUACAAAAACCUUUGGAGCAAAGACAACAGAAUACUCCACAACGUCCACUAGAGGGAGUCACACACUGUUAACCUUCAGUGAUAUGUGAUGAUACAGUCUAGAAUCAUGGACACCUCCUCCACAAGUUGUUCCCUCAGUUAUAUAUACAGCCUUUAUUUAAUCAGGUCGUCUCACUGAGAUCAGACACACCUGAGUACAGCAGGUAGAGAGAAACACAAGCUAAAGGACACACAGCAUCAGAG